GAGGGUUAGCCCUGUCAGGUAGGAGGGUUAGCCCUGUCAGGUAGGAGGGUUAGCCCUGUCAGGUAGGAGGGUUAGCCCUGUCAGGUAGGAGGGUUAGCCCUGUCAGGUAGGAGGGUUAGCCCUGUCAGGUAGGAGGGUUAGCCCUGUCAGGUAGGAGGGUUAGCCCUGUCAGGUAGGAGGGUUAGCCCUGUCAGGUAGGAGGGUUAGCCCUGUCAGGUAGGAGGGUUAGCCCUGUCA